UACAUAGGGGGCAAGCGUUGCCCGGAAUCACUGGGCGUAAAGGGUGCGUAGGCGGAAACUUAAGUUAAGUGUGAAAGCCCGAGGCUUAACCUCGGAACUGCACUUAAUACUGGGCUUCUAGAGUGAUGGAGAGGUUAGUGGAACUCCUAGUGUAGCGGUAAAAUGCGUAGAUAUUAGGAAGAACACCAGAGGCGAAGCCGACUAACUGGACAUUAACUGACGCUGAGGCACGAAAGCGUGGGGAGCAAAC
rnacentral:rRNA from 1 species